rnacentral:rRNA from 1 species
UACAGGGGGGGCAAGCGUUGUUCGGAAUUACUGGGCGUAAAGGGCUCGUAGGCGGCCAACUAAGUCACACGUGAAAUCCCCAGGCUUAACCUGGGAACUGCGUGUGAUACUGGAUGGCUUGAAUCCGGGAGAGGGAUGCGGAAUUCCAGGUGUAGCGGUGAAAUGCGUAGAUAUCUGGAGGAACACCGGUGGCGAAGGCGGCAUCCUGGACCAAUACUGACGCUGAGGAGCGAAAGCCAGGGGAGCAAACGGG